AGGAAGUGUGUGGCAUGACUCAGUUCCAUGGCCAAAGACCCCAGCAUUCAAGAACCUGUAGGAACAACAAACAGAUUUAAUUAUACUUGCUGUUCAUCAUAUUUUAUCCAACUCCCUGUUCACCAGGUAUUAAUUUGCCAUAAAUUUUCCUUGACCUUUCUAUUAAUAGCCUUAUCAACCUUGGUAAGCUAACAAGUAUUCAUGCUUUUUCCAAAAGUAGUAGGGCCACUAAAAAACUCAUUAUAAUUGAUAAAAUAAUGGUAACUCGGUUAUAACUCAUCCCACCAGACCCAAUGAACUUAACUGCCGUCCAGUUUGGACUAUUUCCACAAAAGUGAUAUUCUGUCCAGUUUUAUGAUAAUUGCUAAGUUUGUAGUAUAUAAAAAAAAAAACCCUCACCUAAUGAGCUCUUUUUGAAGGGCUGCUCCUUGCUUGGUUCUUCGAUGAGAAGUAGCACCAAAACCAGUGGUAACACCAUAGCUGUCAGUGCCUUUGUUCAUGCCAUCAAGGACCCAAUCAGCACUGGCCUUGACGCCAGCCCUAGCAUCCUCGGAAAGCUCAACCUUGA
rnacentral:lncRNA from 1 species